rnacentral:misc_RNA from 1 species
GAUGAAGAACGCAGUGAAAUGCGAUAAGUAAUGUGAAUUGCAGAAUUCAGUGAAUCAUCGAAUCUUUGAACGCACAUUGCGCCCGCCAGUAUUCUGGCGGGCAUGCCUGUUCGAGCGUCAUUUCAACCAUCAAGCCCCCGGGCUUGUGUUGGGGACCUGCGGCUGCCGCAGGCCCUGAAAAGCAGUGGUGGGCUCGCUGUCACACCGAGCGUAGUAGCAUACAUCUCGCUCUGGGCGUGCUGCGGGUUCCGGCCGUUAAACUACCCUUUUAACCCAAGGUUGACCUCGGAUCAGGUAGGAAGACCCGCUGAACUUAAGCAUAUCAAUAAGCGGGGA